GAUCUUUAUAUAUUAAAUAAUUUAUAAAUAUUAGUUAUUUUUUUUUUAAAAAUUAUUAAUAUAUUAUAUUGGGGUAAUAAUAAAAUUUAAAAAAUUUUUAUUUUUUAAUUUCAAUUAUAAUUGAUUUUUUGAUCCAGUAUUAUUGAUUAUAAAGUUAAGUUACCUUAGGGAUAACAGCGUAAUGAUUUUUGAGAGUUCUUAUCGAUAAAAUAGUUUGU
rnacentral:rRNA from 1 species